rnacentral:rRNA from 1 species
GGAGGGAGCCUGAGAAACGGCUACCACAUCCAAGGAAGGCAGCAGGCACGCAAAUUACCCACUCCCGGCACGGGGAGGUAGUGGACAAAAAAUAACGAAUUACGGGACUCAUUUGAGGCCCCGUAAUCGGAAUGAGUACACUUUAAAUCCUUUAACAAGGAUCCAUUGGAGGGCAAGUCUGGUGCCAGCAGCCGCGGUAAUUCCAGCUCCAAUAGCGUAUAUUAAAGUUGUUGCGGUUAAAAAGCUCGUAGUUGGUUCUGCGUGCCACGCUGUCGGUUCGCCGCCUGCCGGUGCUACUGGCAUGCCGUGGCAUGUCCUGUCGGUGGGUGUCCGGGGCCCCGUGCGGGCGGCAGGAGGCCGGGUCCGCCCGUGCUCCUCCCUGCGCGUCGGCGGGUUCACUCCGGCUCCCUACUAUCCUACCUAGGUGCUCUUCACCGAGUGUCGAGGUAGGCCGACACGUUUACUUUGAACAAAUCAGAGUGCUUAAAGCAGGCUGAAAAAUUCUGCCUGAAUGAUGGCGCAUGGAAUAAUAAAACAGGACCUUGGUUCUAUUUUGUUGGUUCUUAGGGAACACAAGGUAAUGAUCAAUAAGGACAGGCGGGGGCAUUCGUAUUGCGGGGUUAGAGGUGAAAUUCUUGGAUCCUCGCAAGACGACCGAGA